GUAGGUGGCAAGCGUUGUCCGGAUUUACUGGGUGUAAAGGGCGUGUAGGCGGGAGAGCAAGUCAGAAGUGAAAUCCAUGGGCUUAACCCAUGAACUGCUUUUGAAACUGUUCUACUCGAGUAUCGGAGAGGCAGGCGGAAUUCCUAGUGUAGCGGUGAAAUGCGUAGAUAUUAGGAGGAACACCAGUGGCGAAGGCGGCCUGCUGGACGACAACUGACGCUGAGGCGCGAAAGCGUGGGGAGCAAACAGGAUUAGAUACCCCGGUAGUCCACGCUGUAAACGAUGAAUACUAGGUGUGGGGGGACUGACCCCUUCCGUGCCGCAGUUAACACAAUAAGUAUUCCACCUGGGGAGU
rnacentral:rRNA from 1 species